GAUUGAACGCUGGCGGCAGGCCUAACACAUGCAAGUCGAACGGUAACAGGAAGAAGCUUGCUGCUUUGCUGACGAGUGGCGGACGGGUGAGUAAUGUCUGGGAAACUGCCUGAUGGAGGGGGAUAACUACUGGAAACGGUAGCUAAUACCGCAUAACGUCGCAAGACCAAAGAGGGGGACCUUCGGGCCUCUUGCCAUCGGAUGUGCCCAGAUGGGAUUAGCUUGUUGGUGGGGUAACGGCUCACCAAGGCGACGAUCCCUAGCUGGUCUGAGAGGAUGACCAGCCACACUGGAACUGAGACACGGUCCAGACUCCUACGGGAGGCAGCAGUGGGGAAUAUUGCACAAUGGGCGCAAGCCUGAUGCAGCCAUGCCGCGUGUAUGAAGAAGGCCUUCGGGUUGUAAAGUACUUUCAGCGGGGAGGAAGGGAGUAAAGUUAAUACCUUUGCUCAUUGACGUUACCCGCAGAAGAAGCACCGGCUA
rnacentral:rRNA from 1 species